rnacentral:rRNA from 1 species
GUAGGUGGCAAGCGUUGUCCGGAAUUAUUGGGCAUAAAGCGCGCGCAGGCGGUCCUUUAAGUCUGAUGUGAAAGCCCACGGCUCAACCGUGGAGGGUCAUUGGAAACUGGGGGACUUGAGUACAGAAGAGGAAAGCGGAAUUCCAAGUGUAGCGGUGAAAUGCGUAGAGAUUUGGAGGAACACCAGUGGCGAAGGCGGCUUUCUGGUCUGUAACUGACGCUGAGGCGCGAAAGCGUGGGGAGCAAACAGGGAUUAGAUACCCUGGUAGUCCACGCCGUAAACGAUGAGUGCUAAGUGUUAGGGGGUUUCCCGCCCCUUAGUGCUGCAGCUAACGCAUUAAGCACUCCGCCUGGGGAGUACGGCCGCAAGGCUG